ensembl:lncRNA
AGCUGGGAGGUAUGGUUCAGCAUGGUUCAGCUGGGAGGUAUGGUUCAGCUGGGAGGUAUGGUUCAGCAUGGUUCAGCUGGGAGGUAUGGUUCAGCUGGGAGGUAUGGUUCAGCAGGGAGGUAUGGUUCAGCAGGGAGGUAUGGUUCAGCAGGGAGGUAUGGUUCAGCAGGGAGGUAUGGUUCAGCUGGGAGGUAUGGUUCAUGUUUUGUAAGGCUGCAGAAUGUCUGUGACAGAAUAUCAUGCCAUAUAGAUUGCUUUCAGUCGGCCAUCAGAUUGUUUGACCUUUUCAGCUUUGACCCCAUGUAGAGCCUGACCUCCCAGGACAUGUCGAGCCGUAGAGGACUGAGCCUCAGCCCACAGGUCCAGGUCCAGCUGUUUAUCCUGCUCCAGUAUCAGACCCUGGUCCACCACUGCAAGGCCAUGGUCCCCAGAGCAGUUAACCAGGCCAACCUUAAAAACACACCAGGAGCACCUGGUAACCCAACCUCAUACACACUAGGAGCACCAGACUAUGUUUCAAACCCCUCCGUCCCUGACUCCAAUGCUGGCACACCGUCCAACCAGAACCUCUGUACGACAAGAAGAACCAAUCAGACUCCAGAACAUUGGGAUACUAACCCAAUGAGAGGACAGAUCCAGCUAAUUAUACUCCAGAAUUCUGAGACCCCAACCAACCAGAACCUCUGUAGGACAUCAUCAGCCAAUCUCUGAUGUACUCUGGACAAUGGAAUAUCCAACCUGAGACUGCACAAUUCAGCUUUGGCCCUGAUGGACUCAAAGCAAGCUGAGGACAGCCAUACCAUAACAAAAUCCAUUGGCUAGAAAGCCAUGAUGAUGACUUCACAUCAAUGUCUGGGGUUGAUCAUAGACUGCUGAUAUAGCUGGACGGAGUGAUACUGUACUGUCACAACGUGGCCCUUUUGGGUGUAUAUCGUGGCUACCCCCCUCUCUCACUCUCUCUCCCACCAUAAGUUUUACAACGGUCAUAAAUUCUUGGGAGAAACUCUCUUCGCUGCCAUGGAGUAUUGAGGGAUAGAGCCUAUGGAGAACAAAUACAUUCUUGUUGCCAAAACUCCUAAUCCCCAAAAUUUGAGAAUUAAACAAUAUUUAUAGUUUUGAGAAUGUGGGAAUGGUCCAUGGACACUUAAGGGACAGUCAUGUCGAGUUUGUUUCAUUUGGUGAUCUCAUGAGGGACAGGAAACACACGUUACUGUGUCUUUGGUUGCGUAAACUUCUCAAUUAUGGGGUUUGCAU